GACGAACGCUGGCGGCGUGCUUAACACAUGCAAGUCGAGCGGAAAGGCCUCCUUCGGGGGGUACUCGAGCGGCGAACGGGUGAGUAACACGUGAGUGAUCUGCCCCCUACUCUGGGAUAACUGCCUGAAAGGGUGGCUAAUACCGGAUGCGACCAACUGCUGCAUGGUGUGUUGGUGGAAAGGUUUUUCUGGUGGGGGAUGUGCUCGCGGCCUAUCAGCUUGUCGGUGGGGUAAUGGCCUACCAAGGCUUGACGGGUAGCCGGCCUGAGAGGGUGACCGGCCACACUGGGACUGAGACACGGCCCAGACUCCUACGGGAGGCAGCAGUGGGGAAUUUUGGACAAUGGGCGAAAGCCUGAUCCAGCCAUUCCGCGUGCAGGAUGAAGGCCCUCGGGUUGUAAACUGCUUUUGUACAGAACGAAAAGGUUUCUACUAAUACUAGGAGCUCAUGACGGUACUGUAAGAAUAAGCACCGGCUAACUACGUGCCAGCAGCCGCGGUAACAC
rnacentral:rRNA from 1 species